UACGAAGGGGGCUAGCGUUGCUCGGAAUCACUGGGCGUAAAGGGUGCGUAGGCGGGUCUUUUAAGUCAGGGGUGAAAUCCUGGAGCUCAACUCCAGAACUGCCCUUGAUACUGGCGGCCUUGAGUCCGGGAGAGGUGAGUGGAACUGCGAGUGUAGAGGUGAAAUUCGUAGAUAUUCGCAAGAACACCAGUGGCGAAGGCGGCUCACUGGCCCGGUACUGACGCUGAGGUGCGAAAGCGUGGGGAGCAAACAGG
rnacentral:rRNA from 1 species